rnacentral:rRNA from 1 species
AGUAGUUUGAUCAUGGCUCAAGAACGAACGCUGGCGGCAUGCCUAACACAUGCAAGUCGAACGAGACCUUCGGGUCUAGUGGCGCACGGGUGCGUAACGCGUGGGAAUCUGCCCUUGGGUUCGGAAUAACAGUUAGAAAUGACUGCUAAUACCGGAUAAUGUCUUCGGACCAAAGAUUUAUCGCCCAGGGAUGAGCCCGCGUAGGAUUAGCUAGUUGGUGAGGUAAAGGCUCACCAAGGCGACGAUCCUUAGCUGGUCUGAGAGGAUGAUCAGCCACACUGGGACUGAGACACGGCCCAGACUCCUACGGGAGGCAGCAGUGGGGAAUAUUGGACAAUGGGCGAAAGCCUGAUCCAGCAAUGCCGCGUGAGUGAUGAAGGCCUUAGGGUUGUAAAGCUCUUUUACCCGGGAUGAUAAUGACAGUACCGGGAGAAUAAGCCCCGGCUAACUCCGUG